UCGAAAACCCAGCUGUAUUCUAACAUUAACUUAGCUCUCCUUACAUGCUUGCUACUAACUUUUAAUAGCUGGGUCUCCGACAUUGACAGCGUUGUGUUGGACAGAUUUGUGCAGCUGUGUUAAGGAAGGAGAUCGAGGGACAGAUGAGAGAGACGAGCCAGAGGAUGUGCUGCGCAAAUAUGCGCUGCCUGCAGCUCAAAUACGAAUUUAAAUAGGCCUAGUUAAAAGUCUCGUACAGUUGCAGUGGACUAAACUGGCAGGUUUUAAUGUGGCAGACCACAGUUUUUUGCAAGUACUUUAAAGUUAAACUUAAAGAAGUCAGAGUAUCAUCUGUAAAAAUUUACCCACAACUGACUAAGUUUAAACUCUUAUUGUUGUGAAUCUUAAGUGUAAACUCGCCUUAGAAUUUCCAACCAACAAACGCCCCCCGAAAGCAGCUCAGCGCCCCCCCUUCCAAAAUAUUGCCUCCAGCGCCCCCAUCGUCCUCAGAACGCCCCUUGAGAAGCACUAGCAUACUGUAUACUACAUACUACAUUUGGACCAAAUCAGUACAUACUACUAGUACAGUAGGCGGUUUCGAAUACAGCCAUAAAGUUAGUUAACUUAACGUUAGUGGUUAAUGUUAACUUUACUCAUGGUAGGUUUGAGCACCCAAUUUUUUAAACAAGAAAUUAACAGACACUUACUCUAUUAAGUUAGUAACGUUAGAAAUGCUUUUUCGUCUGAGUUGUUUUCAAGCCUCAUAUUUCUAAAGGUGUUAAGGUAUCCUUUAAGUUAUCUGUUAACGUUAGCUUUUCUUAGUGCUAAGAGCCUGUCUUUCCCCACUAUAUUUUCCCCCACAGCAUUUGGUGCAGUGCUUUUUUACGCUGACAAGACCACUGGACAAUGAAGUUAACGUUAUACGGUAAGCUGUGACCUUAAUACAUUGACCGUUCUUAUCAACCAGAGAAAAAUAUUGUAAUGGAUAAGGGCAAAGAUAAAGUUUGACAACUUUAAUCUCAAAUUAGUAACGUUAGCUUGUAAUUUUCUCCCCUGCGGUGUAUGCAUGUGAUACAGAGCAACCGUUGCUUUUCUUGUCAACUGUAAAAUGAACUGCGCAUGUCCAUUGUCUGAUGGAAGUUAGUUUUCAAGUCAACGGUCUUGUCUGGAAAAUUCCACUGCGGGCAGUUAGAGUGAGUGCUGCUGUUAGACCAAGCGGCACUCAUAUUUGUUUUUGAAAAUGCAUUAACUUAGCUUGACAGUCUGAAGAACUAGGGAUUUGUAGCUGUAAGAUACACGUUUGUAAGAACUCGGGUUAUUUGAUUUUUUGUGACUGACGAUGUUUGUAUUUGUGAGCUAACGUUACCUUACAGCAUGGUGACAAGACUGACGUUACAGGGCGGUGAAGUAACUUAAGUUAUCUUUCUAGCUAAGUUACACACACUUUCUAUUUUAAGAUUGACAACCUUCGUAAUUUUCUCUGGUGCUGGGUGUGAUAGAGAGCAGCCGUUGCCUAUCUUGUCAACUGUAAGGAAAACACACAGGGCUUUUCCUGGCUCAUAAUGGGCCUUUGGGUGGUGACUUUGCUCGACAGUAACAUUAACUUAAGCAUGAUCGGUGCUCGUACAGUAAAGGCAGUGCGAUACCUUAUGACCGUAAUCUAUGCAUUUUCUUGUUAUUUCUGACCAUUUGAUAAACAAAAUAUAUCCACAACCUGGAGGAGUAAAUGUGUAAAUUAGUGUAUUAAUAAAUAUUAUAACAUUAAAUAGAAAGUAUAAUGUCAGUACAAUUAUAUAUUUACAGUUUACACUUUAUUUGGAUAGUAUUCCUACAGAUAGUUUAUUAGUUGAGAUUCAGCUUUUUUACACAAAACCGUUUUCUGAUAUUUUCCUAUAAUAUUAAUUCCAGUUGGACAAAACAGCAGUUUAAUUUUGUGGGUUGUUUUCAGUCAUUAAGUUACUGUGCAAGAAAAAUGCUCUUCAUGGUGGUUAGUCUCUCAUUUUUUUUUAUGCUGUAAUAAUAACCGGACAUACAGAACAACACGUUCAACAUUUCUUAAGUUUGCUGUAGUUCCUCAACCUUUUUGUAAUGUCCCGCCUGCUCCAGGCUGUGAUUGGUCAUGAAGUGACUUUGACGAGCAACUUUAAACACGCAUGAAAGGCUCCUGAUCUCCCUGCGGAGAUUAGCAGGAAGGAGAGAACGUGAACAGGCGAGCGUCACGUAGCACCCAGAAAACCUAAUCUGGAGAGGGCAGAGAAGAGAACCGGUGCCGGAGUAAAAUGUGAAAGUGCUAGUACCGGUUAAUACAGCUUCAUGGAGGAGCGUUCAGGCGCAGUCAAACCAACGCAGCAGCUGGUUUAUUAAUCCAGCGCCAGCUGCAUGUGUAAAAUACUGCGGCUGUGAAUGUGAGGAGAGGUGACUGCUGGAAGACAAGACGUCGUAUUUAAGUUUAUGUUCUGCUUGUUUGAUAAAUGGCUAUUAAAACACGUUCGGAGGGGAUUUGAAAUGCUUUUUUCCCCCAAUUCAUAUCAUUUUGGCGCUGGUGAUUUUCCUUUGGCGCUUGCUAAAAACAUCUCUUUGCAGGAAAAACCCUGAACGCAUGAUUGGCUGAUUGGAUAAUUGCAUGAAUAAGCAGGUUUACAGGUGUUCCUUAUAGUGAUAGCUAAAGUUCUUGGUGUGUGCCACAGCCACUGACAUUGAAAGGAUGGUAAUGCUACCAAGCACACCAAGAUAAUGUUGAUGUCUUCUUAAUUUUUUUUUAAUGCAUUUCACACCAUCAAGUCAUGCUUUUUUGGUACUGAUCCAGCGAGUGUCUCUUUGCUGUGCACACUCAUCUGGUAGAACUACACUUUUGUCCUUUAUCCCUAACUUCCUCAAAAACAUUAUCCCUCCAGCUCUUAAUCUCCUCCUGGCUAAAUCAAAUUGUAAACAGUGAAUUUGUUUUACAUCUUCACAUCUAUGUGUGGAAUUGUGAGCUCUCUGUUGUGGUCUGAUCUCAGCUCCAGUAGUUACUUCCUUUUCCAGCGAGUCGAGAACAUGUUGAGGUACCUGAAAUGAAAAUGUCAAUAUUUAAAAUCUGGUAAGGACGCCUCCAGGCACGUCCAGCUGGGAGGAGGCCUCAGGGAAGAUCCAGGACUAGGUGGAGAGAUUAUAUCACCACACUAGCCUGGGAACACCUCGGGAUCCCCCAGUCAGAGCUGGUUAAUGUGGCUCGGGAAAGAGAAGUUUGGGGUCCCCUGCUGGAGCUGCUGCCCCCGCGACUCGACCCCAGAUAAGCGGAUGAAGAUGGAUGGAUGGUUUUCUGAAAAUGGCUGAUUCUGAUUUUCUUUCUUUCUAAGAACAUUAACUAAGAGCAUUCACAAAUAUUUUCAUAACUUCUCUUUAAAGAAAAAUUAUUUUAUUCAUACUCUGAAUCCACACAGGGAAAGCCUGCACCAUAUUGAGGUAGUCUAGUCAAUGCUUGUGCUGACAACAGACGUGCCACAGCGCGUUCCAGAAGCAGCUCUCCACUAGUAUGGAGUUACUUAGUGAAGAUCCUAUGUGGACUCUUAAACAUCUGGAGCCGGUUGCACCAACAGGGCUUACGCCUGGGCUUAAGGUAAGUAGGUCUUAACUCAGCAUUCUAAGUCCGACCUAAUAGUUAUGACAGUUGCACCAUCCAGGCUUAAGUCCUCUUCUCGCUAAGACCGGGCGUAAAUCUUACGCCUAGUCAGUAGCAGGCGUAAAGUAAAAAUCUAGGCAAGUUUCUAUAGUAACCACUUGAUAACUCAGCAGUAAAGACAUGGCGCGCCUUAUACACAGACUUUACAAUGAGCGGGCUUUUAGAUGGGAGAGAGUUAUUAGGGACAGAAGCAAUCCAUUGGACAUUUACAAUGAUGAGGAGCUGAUUCAGAGGUUUCGAUUUUGUCGGAGAGAUAUAUAUGAACUUGUUGAAGAGCUGUCACCCGACUUACAGUUUGUGUCGGAUCACAACGCAGCAUUGACACCCGCAUUACAGCUGUUAAUAGCGCUACGUUUUUAUGCAAAUGGUGCGUUUCAAAACACUGUUGGAGACAUGAUUAAUGUCCACAAAUCCACCGCAUGUCGGGCCAUCCGCAGAGUGUCACUGGCACUGAGCCGUCGCCUUCCACGAUCUGCUCACCUCCCCACUGAGGCCGAGUGUGCGGUGAUGAAACACAGAUUCCUCCGGGCCUCUGACAUUCCUGGUAUUGUGGACUGCAUCGAUGGGACUCACAUCCGGAUCCAGCACCAUCUGAUGUCAACCGCAAGGGAUACCAUUCAAUCAAUGUGCAGAUUGCUUGUGACGCCAAUUAUAACAUCUUUAAUUUGGUGGCAAGAUGGCCUGGAUCUACCCAUGACGCACGCAUCCUCCGAGAGAGUGCGUUAUACCAGGAUUUCGAGGCUGGAAGAGUAAAUGGGCUGCUUCUCGGUGACAGUGGAUACCCACUGAAACACUGC